AACGAACGCUGGCGGCAUGCCUAACACAUGCAAGUCGAACGAGAUCUUCGGGUCUAGUGGCGCACGGGUGCGUAACGCGUGGGAAUCUGCCCUUUGGUUCGGAAUAACAGUUGGAAACGACUGCUAAUACCGGAUGAUGACGAAAGUCUAACGAUUUAUCGCCAGAGGAUGAGCCCGCGUAGGAUUAGCUAGUUGGUGUGGUAAAGGCGAACCAAGGCGACGAUCCUUAGCUGGUCUGAGAGGAUGAUCAGCCACACUGGGACUGAGACACGGCCCAGACUCCUACGGGAGGCAGCAGUGGGGAAUAUUGGACAAUGGGCGAAAGCCUGAUCCAGCAAUGCCGCGUGAGUGAUGAAGGCCUUAGGGUUGUAAAGCUCGUUUACCCGGGAUGAUAAUGACAGUACCGGGAGAAUAAGCUCCGGCUAACUCCGUGCCAGCCGCCGCAGUAA
rnacentral:rRNA from 1 species